rnacentral:lncRNA from 1 species
CCAGCCUGGCCAACAUGGUGAAACCCUAUUUCUACUAAAAAUACAAAAAUUAGCUAGAUGUAUUGGCAUGUGCCUGUAGUCCCAGCUACUCGGGAGGCUGAAGUGUGAUGGUCACCUGAACCUAGAAGGCAGAGGUUGCAGUGAGCCAAGAUCACACCACUGCACUCCAGUCUGGUUGACGGCAGCAUGAGAGCAUCCUUCCCUCCUCUCAUCCCCCUAGCCUUACCUUGUUAGGUCUCUUGCCUCCCGCCUAGCAGAUGUCAGAGUCUUUAACUAAUUGACUCUGGAUUCUGGGUUCCAGGGAAUGAAAGGAACAACUCUGAAUCUUCCCACGAGUAGAAAUUGUCCCUGGCAUCUCAGUCUCCUUUAUAUGACUCUCCUCAAGUCCUGGCUCUUUAAAAAAUGUUGCAUUUCAAAUAUACAGAAGUUAUAAAGAAUAAGAUAACCAGUACUCUUCACUCAUCACCAGUUUAAAAAAUAAGCUGUUGAAGCUCCCUGUGCACUUCCACUUCCGCCUGCUGAAAUUGGU